rnacentral:tRNA from 1 species
GGGGCAGUAGCUCAGUUGGGAGAGCGUCGCGUUCGCAACGCGAAGGCCGGGAGUUCGAUCCUCCCUUGCUCCACUA